UACGUAGGGUGCAGGCGUUAAUCGGAAUUACUGGGCGUAAAGCGUGCGCAGGCGGUUUGCUAAGACAGGUGUGAAAUCCCCGGGCUUAACCUGGGAACUGCGCUUGUAACUGGCAAGCUAGAGUGUGGCAGAGGGGGGUGGAAUUACCACGUGUAGCAGUGAAAUGCGUAGAGAUGUGGAGGAAUACCAACGGCGGAAGG
rnacentral:rRNA from 1 species